GGAUUCCCCGAGUAGCGGCGAGCGAAACGGGAAGAGCCCAGCGCUGAAUUCCGCGGUCCUCACGGGCCGCCGGAAAAUGUAGCGUUCGGGAGGAGGAUGUCAAUUAUCGCGCGGUUUUCGGCGCCCUGUCCAAGUUCAUCUUGAAAGGGGCCCCGCUUAUCCACAGAGGGUGCCAGGCCCGUAGCGACGGGCGCCGGCCGCGACGGUCCUCUUCCCCAGAGUCGGGUUGCUUGAGAGUGCAGCCCUAAGCGGGUGGUAAACUCCAUCUAAGGCUAAAUACGACCACGAGACCGAUAGCGAACA
rnacentral:rRNA from 1 species